GAUGAACGCUGGCGGCGUGCCUAAUACAUGCAAGUCGAGCGAACGGACGAGAAGCUUGCUUUUCUGAUGUUAGCGGCGGACGGGUGAGUAACACGUGGAUAACCUACCUAUAAGACUGGGAUAACUUCGGGAAACCGGAGCUAAUACCGGAUAAUAUUUUGAACCGCAUGGUUCAAAAGUGAAAGACGGUCUUGCUGUCACUUAUAGAUGGAUCCGCGCUGCAUUAGCUAGUUGGUAAGGUAACGGCUUACCAAGGCAACGAUGCAUAGACGACCUGAGAGGGUGAUCGGCCACACGGGAACUGGGACGCGGUCCAGACUCCUACGGGAGGCAGCAGUAGGGAAUCUUCGGCAACGGGCGAAAGCCUGACGGAGCAACGGCGCGUGAGUGAUGAAAGUCUUCGGAUCGUAAAACUGUGUUAUUAGGGAAGAACAUAUGUGUAAGGAACUGUGCACAUCUUGACGGUACCGAAUCAGAAAGCCACGGCUAACUACGUG
rnacentral:rRNA from 1 species